AACUGAUACUACCUGCGGGAACCUGCGGAGGGAUCAUUAGUGAACGCCCUCACGGGCUUAUAACUAUUCCAAACCUCUGUGAACCGUGCCCUUCGGGGCUAUUUUACAAACAUGGUGUAAUGAACGUCAUAUAUCAUAUCAAAACAAAACUUUUAACAAUGGAUCUCU
rnacentral:misc_RNA from 1 species